rnacentral:rRNA from 1 species
CCUACGGGAGGCAGCAGUCGAGAAUCAUUCACAAUGGGGGAAACCCUGAUGGUGCGACGUCGCGUGGGGGAAUGAAGGUCUUCGGAUUGUAAACCCCUGUCAUGUGGGAGCAAAUUAAAAAGAUAGUACCACAAGAGGAAGAGACGGCUAACUCUGUGCCAGCAGCCGCGGUAAUACAGAGGUCUCAAGCGUUGUUCGGAAUCACUGGGCGUAAAGGGUGCGUAGGCUGUUUCGUAACUCGGGUGUGAAAGGCGCGGGCUCAACCCGCGGACGGCACAUGAUACUGCGGGACUAGAGUAAUGGAGGGGGAACCGGAAUUCUCGGUGUAGCGGUGAAAUGCGUAGAUAUCGAGAGGAACACUCGUGGCGAAGGCGGAUUCCUGGACAUUAACUGACGCUGAGGCACGAAGGCCAGGGGAGCGAAAGGGAUUAGAUACCCGGGUAGUC